AAAACAUAAGUACGUUUUCCUCCAACAACUUUGAAACCCUCGCCGCUCAACAUUUCCUCUUCCAGUUCCCACCAUAUUCCCUUCCCAGUUUCCACCAUCUUCAUUUGCUUUGCUAUCACACCAGAGGAAAUAUUUCUCUUCAAGUGUUCUCCUGGUACACUAGAGCACGGCUUCAUCCCUUCCACUGGUACACUAACUUUCUCUCCACCUCACUUCCGAUCCAAUCGCCGAAAUCAGAAGCCUUAUGAGUAGAAUUCGAUUCGGGAUUUCUAGCUUUCCAAAAGUAGAAGCCAUAGAGAAAAUUUGGUGAAAGUUAGACGACAUAUUGGUGGAGCCAUUGACGAUUUCUUAAAAGCUUCUUCAAUUUCUAGCUAUUGACAAAGCAUUAGAAGAUUCUAUAUCGGAUCCCAUGGACCAUACACCUCAGAGUUGAAACGCAAAUUUGGUCAAUGGCAAGAGGAUGGUGGGACCAAGGAACCUUCAUAUCUCCAUUUCUAUGAAUAUGUCGAGGCUGUAAAGCUUACUGGGGAUCCUUAUGUGCCUGCUGGCCUGGCCAGAUCCCCCUCUUCUCUUAGCUCUAUUCUCCAUGGAGGUGCAGGUUCCAUAUUGUGCAAGGACUUGGGCACGUUAGAGGAGCAAGUAAAGUCUGUACUUGAAGAGCAUCCACAGUUUCGGCUUACAAGAGGUAUAAAGAUUUUGCUUGAAGGUUAUGUCUUUAAUUUGUGAUGAGAGACAACCGCAACAACAGAUUCAAUUCUCAUAACUGUUCGAGAUGACUGCCAACAAAUAACAGUAUCAAGGACUGUCGAGGGCAUCUGCGCAAGGCAUGUAAGAAUUCAUGAACGAAGUUGAACUGAAUUCAAAACUUUAACACCGGAAUGGGUAGUCAAACUGCUGGGAUGCUGUGUCGAAUGAGAAGUGUAAAUGCCGAUACAUGAGUACAUGCCAAAUAAAAUCUUGGGUGCAUUUUUUUAUCAAUCUGCAGAAGCCAGAGCUUUUGCAGUGGGAGAGACACUUCAACAUCAUACAAGGGAUAUGCCGUGGUCUACUUUACCUUUACAGAGAUAGAUUCCAGAUUAAAAAUUAUACAAGGGGAUCUUAAAACGAAGUAACAGUUACUUGAUCAAGAACUAAACCUAAAACUGCUUUACUUUGACAUGGCUAGAAUAUUUGGAGGCAACCAGGAUAAAUUUAGUACUCAGAGGGUUGCUGGAACUUAGAACUCAUUAUAAAUGGGGAGUGGUGUCAGCAGUGGAGGUGGACAGAGUUCCUUGGGCUAUCAGUUUGGAAGCGGUGAGGUUCCUAAGCCUGAUUCCACUAAAUCUCCAGCAAACGUCUGCGCUGAACCGGUUAUGAAAGAAGCAACAAGUCCUGCUGCUGCAUCUGAUAAUCCCCAGCCUACUGAUCUCAAGAAGGUUCCUGCUGGAGUUGAUAGUAACAUUAACAGCUGAUAACAUAAUAGGUUGGAAUUAUGAGUGGAGGUGAUAGAUGUUUUGGUCUUAAGUUUGUGUUUAGGGGACAAUACUAUCUAAAUAGUUUAGAUAACGUGUAAACUUUGUUGAUAUGUUUUAGACGUAUUAUUAUGUAAAUUAAUACUAGUAUCUUUAAUUAAGUUAUCAAUAUCUUGUCAUUUCAAUGCUAUAGUUAUGUUUGAUUUUA